rnacentral:rRNA from 1 species
GAUGAACGCUGGCGGCGUGCCUAACACAUGCAAGUCGAGCGGCAGCGAGGGGUGCUUGCACCCUGUCGGCGAGCGGCGGACGGCUGAGUAACGCGUGGGAACGUGCCCCAAAGUGAGGAAUAACUGCCCGAAAGGGGAGCUAAUACCGCAUAUUAUCUUCGGAUCAAAGGAUUUAUCCGCUUUGGGAGCGGCUCGCGUCGGAUUAGGUAGUUGGUGAGGUAAUGGCUCACCAAGCCGACGAUCCGUAGCUGGUCUGAGAGGAUGACCAGCCAGACUGGAACUGGGACACGGUCCAGACUCCUACGGGCGGCAGCAGUGAGGAAUCUGCCACAAUGGGCGAAAGCCUGAUGGAGCAACGCCGCGUGCAGGACGAAGGCCUUCGGGUUGUAAUCUGCUUUUAUAAGUGAGGAAUAUGACGGUAACUUAUGAAUAAAGAUCGGCUAACUACGU